rnacentral:lncRNA from 1 species
AUGGUUCCACAGGCUGUACAGGAAGCAUGGCUCAGGAGGCCUAAGGACACUUACAACCAUGGCAGAGGGCAAAAAAGAAGAAGACUCCAACUUCUUCAGUUUGGAGACUCGGACUGGCUCUCUUUCCUCCUCAAGCUUGCAGACAGCCUACUGUGGGACCUUGUGAUCAUGUUUUACAGGAAGCAUGUCUGGGCAGGCCUCAGGAAAUUUACAGUCAUGGCAGAAGGUGAAGAGGAAGCAGGCACAUUUUAUACAGCUAGAGAAGGAGGAAGAGAGUGAAGAGCGAGGUGCUACAUGCUCUUAACCGGACCUUGUGAGAACUCACUAUCAUGAGACGAGAAAGGGGGAAAUCCGUCCCCAUGAUCUAAUCAUCUCCCACCAGACCCCUCUCCAACAUGAGAUUUGGGCAAGGGUCUAUUCUUAAAAUAUUAAUAGUUCAGAGUACCUGAUAUAGUCCUAUCCACAAGCCUUUUGGAUUAUACCUUUGUUGUAGACAGAAAUUCCAAUCAAUACCUUAGAGCAGAGACUUUAGGAAUGCACCAGGAAUCAGAAAUCUGUUCUGAUUCUGGAGAGGAUGUUGUAUGGUUAAUUUAUUAUAGUCACAAAUAUUAGAUUGGCAGACAGUACAAUUCUCCAUUGGCACACAGAACAGAACUAUUUCAUAAGGAUUUGAUCAAUGUUUGCCCCUGAGUUUAAAAACAUAUUUACCAGUGAGGGCAUUGACAAGUCUCCAGUGCUUUUUCAUAAAGUGCGUAAUUUCUGAAAUAUUUACAUUAAUACUAUGCUAUCUAUUCAGAUUUAACCUAGUAUGGCUAACCAUUGGUUCAGAAUUGAGAAUUCAUUCCAUUCAGCCUUACAAUAGUGUUGAGUUUAUGCAAUAUGAGGAUGGUAUUCUCAAAAUUGUAUUUUAGUUUUUAAAAAUUGGAAUCCUUUCAUGGAAAGACAAAAUCAAAGCGACUGGCCAAAGGAGAUUAAGACAGAAUCAUGAGUAUCUUAAAAACAACACUUGGUUAUCUAUUUAAUCAAAAUGACAAUAAAAUAUUUAAAAAUAACUGUAGAGGAAGGUCACAUGGUUAUAAGAAAACUGAGUUCUUUCAUUUAUGUUCUUUGUUUCAUCUUUUGAUGCACAUAUAUAUAUAUAUUUAGAUCAAGGGCAUGAUAGAGGCAAAGCAAUGCAGGUUAAAUUAUUCUUUUGAUAUAUGAAAUCUCUGCUAUUAGGCAUAUUAUACAGAACAUAAAUAUAUGCUCUUAUUACCCUUUGAGGAGAGCUUGAAUAUCAGUUUCUCAUUUAAAAACUUUUUUUUUGUUUUGAAAUAAUUGUAGAUUCACAGUAGGUUGCAAAGAAAUGUAAAGAAAAAUUCUAUGUACUCUUCCCCCAGCCUCCCCCAGUGUUAUCAACUUAUUCAACAAUACAACAAUAUCAAAAACAAGAAAUUGAUAUUGGUACAAUUUAUAGAAUUUAUUCACAUUUCAACUAUUAUACAUGCAUGUAUUUGUGCAUGUGUGUGUGUCUCUGUAUGUGUGUAGCUUUAUGUAAUUUUAUAACAUGUGUAGCCUUGUGUAACCACCAUUGCAAUCAGAAUAUUCAACUACACCAUUACCACAAUACACCUUCAGGUUACUUUUUCUCCUUUCCACCCCUAUUGCCUGGCAACCACAAAUCUGUUUUCCAUGUCUACAGUUAUGCUAUUUAAUGAGUGUUACACAAAUAAAAUCAUGUGGUAUGUGAGCUUUUAAGAUUGGCUUUCUUUUCAUUCAGCAUAAUGCCCUUGAGAUCCAUCCAAGUUGUUACAUAUACCAAUAAUUCAUUCUUUUUUAAUUGCCAAAUAUUUUUUAACCAUCCAUCUACUGAAGAGCAUUUGAAUAGUUUCCUGUUUUUGACUAUUAUGAAUAAAGCCGCCAGAAACAUUCAUGUACAAAUUUCUGCAUGAAAAUAACUCUUCAAUUCUCUGGGAUAAAUGCCAAGAGUUCAAUUGUUGGAUCACAUGGUAUGUCCAUUUUUAGAUUUGAAAGAACUUGCCAAUUUUUCAGAUGGCUAUACUGUUUUACAUUUCCACUAGCAAUGUAUCAAUAAUUCAGUUUCUCCACAUUCUCACCAGCAUUUGGUGUUAUUGCUCUUUCGUUCUGUUCAUUGGCCAUUCUGACAGGUAAGUAGUGAUAUCAUACUGUAGUUUUAAAUUCCAUUUAUUUAAUGGCUAAUGAUAUUAAACAUCUUUUCAUAUGCUUACUUGCCAUCUGUAUAUCAUCACUGAUUAAAUAUCUGUGCAUAUUGUUUGCCAACUUCUUAAUUGAAUUGCUUGCUUUUAUGUCAAAUUUUGAGAGUUCCUUAUAUAUACAAAGCCUUUAUUGGAUAUGAAAUUUGUCUUUUCAUUCUUCUAACAGAAUCUUUUCUAGGAAAAAUUUUAAAAUUUUGUUGAGGUCCCAUUUAUCAAUUUUUUAUUCUAUCAAUCAUGUUAUUUUGUCUCAAUUCUAAGAAAUUUGCUUAGUCU